rnacentral:SRP_RNA from 1 species
GCCAGGCAUGGUGGUGUGUGCCUGUAGUCCCAGCUACUCAGGAGGCUGAGGUGGGAGGAUCGCUUGAGCCCAGGAGUUCUGCACUGUAGUGUACUAUGCCAAUCGGGUGUCCGCACUAAGUUCGGCCUCAAUAUGGUGACUUCCUGGGAGCAGGGGACCACCAGGUUACCUUAGGAGGGGUGAACAGGCCCAGGUCAGAAAUGGAGCAGGUCAAAACUCCCAUGCUGAUCAGUAGUGGGAUCGUGCCUGUGAAUAGCCACGGCACUCCAGCCUGGGCAACACAGCGAGAUCCCGUCUCU